CGGCAAUGAGAGAGUGAGACUGGAGUGCCGCAACUGCCUGCGAUGCGCGCUGGACGGACGCUGAGCCUGAGGGGCACCGCUGCCGCCGCGCGGCGGGGACCUAUCGCUGACGUCAACGGCUUCACAAGACCUGCAGUUUUCAGAUGGUGCUGGAGUUUCUCAGGUGUGCUGGUGACAGGUGCAACUGAUCUGAUGAUUGCACGGAGGAGUUCUUAAGCAGGAGGCUGUCAGCACUUCGAUGCCAGAGUGUUUGUCUUCAGUGGUAACAAGCUCAGCCACUUCUAAGCUAUGCUUUGUUUUUGUUACAAGCUGACUUUGUGUAUUUUCCUUCGCAAGCUAAAACAUGAAUCUUUGAUUACCUUGCUGAACACUGACUUCGGUUCCAGAAGUUUCUGGACGAUCAAGAUUACUUACGUUUUAAGGACUGCGUUUCCUGACUCCUGCCAUUCAUCUGGCCUAGGAUCAAGCUGGCAGCUUCCUGUUUUCUCUUCCGUCUUCUGAACCAAGGCAUUAGCGUACCCUGUCCACCCUCCAACGCAAGUACCUGAACAUUGAAUUAACUCCUGGUCCCACUAAGCUCGCUCAACAGCAUCAGUGAAACCAUCUGGACUACUACUCUUCGUAAACCUGGUCCCUGAAUCCCUCUACCCCUGGUGACCUGACUGCACUUAUUUAGUAAUCCAUUUUCCUGAUUACUAUAGUUACCUUUCGUUAGUUCUGCAACAUCAUAGUUCUUUGUUUCACCAGUUCUCUUCCCCCUCUUUCCAUACGGUUGGCGAUUCACCUGUUCACGUUCCUGAUUUUGCUAUCAUUGAAGAAAUAUUAUCAGGACCAGGGGCCUUUAGUUUUCCCAGUAAUUAAACAGGAAACGAGGAUGGAAAUACAUGCAACAAAUGUCACCGGGGCUCGAACUCAGGACAGCCAUGUCAAGGAUUAAGGCCUCUGUAUAUGGGUUGCACGCUUAGCCCCCUACACCACCAGUGCUGCACCCUGAUUUCUGCAACUCUUUCGUGAACUUUCACUUGAUAAAGUUUCAGAAAUGGCAACAGUUAAAAUCAGCUGGAAACAUGAGGCCAUAUCAAGAACUCAGAGCUACGUUCACCAUGCGUCUUUUAAUGUGCUGCAUUAAUUCAGUUAUUUUAUACUUCUUUGGACAGAUGUUUUACUGCUUGAAGUGUCAUUACAACAUCUUAAGUGUAAACAUUGAUUCAUGUCUAUGAAUCCGUUUUAUUUUAUAUGCAACAAAUCAUACAAAUGAGCCACAAGGACCUGGAAGGAUGAACGAAUGGCAGGUACUAAUUUGCAGUUAUAGAGGUGGUAAAUUAGAGUGAUGAACAGCUUGUUUGCAAGCUCUGCAUGAUGAUUUGUACUGUUUAACAGGCCCAGUGAAUCUUCUUUAAUUGUUUAUGCAACCUCACUUUAUUGACUCCAAUCACAUUAAUGAGCUAGGUCAUAAAUUUGAAACA